rnacentral:rRNA from 1 species
UACGUAGGUGGCAAGCGUUGUCCGGAUUUACUGGGCGUAAAGAGCGCGCAGGCGGUCGUUCAAGUCGCGUGUGAAAGCCCCCGGCUCAACUGGGGAGGGUCACGCGAUACUGAUCGACUCGAAGGCAGGAGAGGGUAGUGGAAUUCCCGGUGUAGUGGUGAAAUGCGUAGAUAUCGGGAGGAACACCAGUGGCGAAGGCGACUACCUGGACUGUUAUUGACGCUGAGGCGCGAAAGCUUGGGGAGCAAACGGG